AGAUUCAGAGGCGUUGAUAGUGGUGCCAUGGAAACACAUUAUUCCCAGUCCAAGGACGUGAACAGCUCCGAAUAUAACGUCACGUGUGAUCAUCUCAAGAUUCCGGUAUGCAGUUACAGCAGGCAGUCAGGAGCCAAUAUUUCACUCCUCUGGAUCUUUAUUGGUAUUUUGGAUCACCUGAGCCACCUAAACUGGAGGAAGUCUUCAGACGGCCUAAACCUCGGUUUUUCAACCGUACAAGUUCAGCUUUCUGGGGUGAAGGAGGGAUGCUUGGAAACUUGUCACAGGAUGGAGAAAAAUCCUCCAGCUCCUGCAGAUUCUUCAGUUUUCCAGCAUCUUUUGCAUAUUUGAACCCUUUCCAGUAGGGAUGCACCGAUGUAUCGGCCGCUGAUAUUUAUCAGGUGAGGACACGUUCGAGCUGCAUGCGGUGCAGUUGGAGCUGGAGGCCGUGGAACGACAGAUCCGGACCCUUCUGGAGAAACAGGCCGAGCUACAGGAGCGGCGAACAGCGCUGGAAACAUC